GAGCGAGCAAUAUAAGGGUGGAUGGUGGAUGCCUUGGCACCACAGGGCGAUGAAGGACGUGGCGUAGCUGCGAUAAGCUUCGGGGAGGUGCGUAGCAACCUGUGAUCCGGAGAUUUCCGAAUGGGGCAACCUCGUGCGGCGAACCCGCACGGCCCUCGCGAGUAACGCUUGCGAGCGGCGCAUACCCGGGGAAGUAAAACAUUUCAGUACCCGGAGGAAGAUAGACCAAUUGCAUUCCCUAAGUAGUGGCGAACGAACGGGGAGCAGCCUAAACCCGUGCACGGCACAUAGUUUAUUAGUUUCACUCGCUACACUCGUUUGCAGUUUAUUAGUUGAUUAGUUUUCAAACUAACAAACUAAAGCGAAGCGUAACUGACAAACUAGUUAACUGCGUGCUGUGCAUGGGGGUUGUAAGGUGUGGACACUUUGGGUAACCGACAACGAACAACACACAACCAACGACUUCAUCGUUGUAGGUUGUAGGUUGUUUGUUGUUUGGUUAUGCCGAUAGAGAGUUACAAACUCGCCGGUUAGUCGAAUCCGCUGGAAAGCGGACCCAAAGACGGUGAUAGGCCGGUAGACGAAAACCGAGCGAACUCUCGUCUGUAUCCUUGAGUACCUCGAGGCCAAAAAACCUCGGGGGAAUCCGCCAGUACUAUCUGGCAAGGCUAAAUACCUGUGGUGACCGAUAGUGAACAAGUACCGUGAGGGAAAGGUGAAAAGCAGCCCGGGAGGGCGAUGAAAUAGUACCUGAAACCAUCCACUUACAAGGAACCGGAGCCUUAAGUGUGCGUAGCACACAGUUUAAUAGUUUCACUCGCUACGCUCGUUUGCAGUUUAUUAGUUGAUUAGUCUUCAAACUAACAAACCAAAGCGAAGCGUGACUAACAAACUAGCCAACUGUGUGCUGCGCACACGGGGUGACGGUGUGCCUAUUGAAGAAUGACCCAACGACUUUACGUACGCGGCAAGGUUAAGUCGCCUCAGGCGACGAAGCCGCAGGGAAACCGAGUCUGAACAGGGCGUUCAGUCGCGUGCGUAAGACCCGAAACCAGACGAGCUUGCCUUGGCCAGGGUGAACUCUGUAGAAAUACAGAGGGAGGCCCGCACCGGUGAGUUGUUCAACACUCUCGGAUGAGCUGGGGUAAGGAGUGAAAAGCUAAUCGAGUUUGGUAAUAGCUGGUUCUCUCCGAAAUAGUUUUAGGACUAGCCUCGCGUGUUCCGUUCCGGAGGUAGAGCACUGGAUGGUAGCCAAUGGGCGAAAGCUCGGGCCACCAAUCAAACUCCGAAUGCCGGAACGUAUAAGCGCGGGAGUCAGACUGCGGGGGCUAAGCUCCGUGGUCGCGAGGGGAAGAGCCCAGAUCGCCGUCUAAGGUCCCCAAGUGCGUGCUCAGUGUGAAAGGUAGUGCGCGUCCAUUGACAGAUAGGAGGUUGGCUUAGAGGUAGCCAUCCUUUAAAGAGUGUGUAACAACUCACUAUUCGAGGACGCGUGCGCCGAAAAUUUACCGGGGCUUAAGCACGCCACCGAAGACGCGGGUCGCUGCUCGCUCGAAUGGAGCCCACGAAUAUGAACGAAUCUAAUCGAAUACUGAACGAAUGCGUUUUUAUUCGGUUAUAUUCGAUUUCAUUCGUGUGUUGCAUUCGGGCGAGUAACGACGGUAGGAGAGCAUUUCCUGUGCACUGAAGCCGGAUCCGUGAGGGCCGGUGGAGCGCAGGGAAGAGAGAAUGUUGGGACGAGUAAUCACAAAGCGCGUGAAAACCGCGCUCCCCGCAAAUCCAAGGUUUCCUCCGCAACGAACAUCGUCGGAGGGUGAGGCGGCCCUUAGGCAAUGGCGAAAGCCGCAGCUGAUGGACAGCUGGUUAAUAUUCCAGCCCGCCAAUAGCGAGAUACCGAUGGGGUGACAGAGGAAAUAGAGCUGCGUGUCUCACUGGUUUGACAUCGCUACCGUAAGCAUGGGCUCCCUGGCAAAUCCGGGAGUCGGCCUUCACUGGCGGCAUGCGGCGGCGGCGGCAGUCCACGGUUUUCCGUGGGCAAUGCAGCAGAAGAGCCUCUCGAGAAAACCCUCUAAGGGCGCUAUUGGCCCCGUACCGUAAACCGCCACAGGUGGAUGAGGCGAGUAGCCUCAGGGGAACGAGUGACCUGCCGCUAAGGAACUCGGCAAAAAAGCUAGGCGUAACUUCGGGAUAAGCCUUGCCCCGCGCAAGCGGGGCCGCAGCUAAAGUUUCUCUGGCAACUGUUUACCAAAAACACAGCUCCCUGCGAACUCGCAAGAGGAUGUAUAGGGGGUGACGCCUGACCGAUGCGAGAAGGUUAACGGUGGGGGUCGUGGUCAUCCGCAAGGAUGGUUAUGGCUCACUGCCCGAAGCCCUCGUCAAUGUCCGCGGUAACUAUAACCGUGUUAAAGUAGCGCAAUUCCUUUCCGGGUAAGUUCCGGAGCGCAUGAAAGGCGUAAUGAUCGGAGAACUGUCUCAGCGGCACGCUCGAUGAAAGUGCGAUACCCGUGAAGACGCGGGUUACCGGCAGUAAGACGAAAAGACCCCGGAAGCUUUACUGUAGCUUGGUAUUGAAAGUAGUGGUUCGCUGCGUAGCGUAGUGGGGAGGAUUUGAAGCUCCGACCUCGGUCGGAGUGGAUCCGUCAAUGAAACACCCAUCUUCGAAUUGCUACUGUCUAACCAGUGCGGCAAAAACGCACAGGGACAGUGCCUGGCGGGCAGUUUUUCUGGGGCGGAACCCUCCUAAAAGGUAACGGAGGGGCCUAUCAAGGUCGGCUUGGCGCGGAUGGAAAUCGCGCUGGACGUGCAAACGCAAAAGCCGGCUUAACUGCAAGACCUACAAGUCGCGCAGGCGCGAAAGCGGAGGUUAGCGACCCGACAACAAUGCUCGCGCGUUAUUUAUAAUGCGCGAGUGCUUCAUAGGAAGGUUGGAGAUAACGGAUAAAAGUUACUCCGGGGAUAACAGGCUGGUGCGGUCCGAGCGUCCCUAGCGACGACCGCGCUCGGCACCUCGAUGUCGGCUCACCACAUCCCGGGGGUGAAGAAGCUCCCAAGGGUAUGGCUGUUCGCCAUUUAAAGUGGUACGUGAGCUGGGUUCAAACCGUUGAUGUGCUAAUCGAGCGAUUGGCGCAUGAACGGUUUGAAUCUGGGACUCAGACGUCGAGUAUGUUUUAGUUUUUUUCGUCAACGAAGAGAGAUAGAAGACAGAUCACAUCACGGCGGCCCAUAGCAGUAAUGUUAUGGUGCAAAAAUCGACUAUUUCGGUGGAAUCCACAUGGUUUGACCAAAAUCAUGACGGACAAUACCGAGGGAAGUUGUGUUAUAAUGAAAUUAUGGAAAUAAUAAUUCUACUAAGUUUAUUGAUAAUUAUUGGACUUCUAAUAGCAAUACUUGUUGUAUUGCGUAAGAUUUUUUGGGAAUUGAAUGACAUAAGAGUUGAUAUAGAAUCAACUAUUGGAGAUAGUAUAAAAGCCCAAAUCGGAGAAGAAUAAUUAUAAAAUAACAUUAACCCCGUAGAGACUACACGUCGAUCAUCCAAAACUUGGAUGAAGAUAUAGUCCUAUGCGCGCAGCAAUGCGCGAGAACAUGCGUGAGACAGGUUGGUCUCUAUCUACUGUCGGCGUGAGUGUUUGAGGGAAGUCGACCCUAGUACGAGAGGACCGGGUUGAACGAACCUCUGGUCUACUGGCUUUGCCACCAGGUGAAUCGCCAGGUAGCUAUGUUCGGACGGGAUAAGCGCUGAAAGCAUCUAAGCGCGAAGCCUCUCCCAAGAUGAGACACUAUGGGGCCCUGGAAGACUACCAGGUUGAUAGGCUCUCGGUGUACGCACCGUAAGGUGUUUAGCCUAGGAGUACUAAUACCCCCACUGCUUGUUCCG
rnacentral:rRNA from 1 species